rnacentral:misc_RNA from 1 species
ACCUCUUUUACAGCAAAAAAGAAUCCAUCGUCAGAGAUUCCUUCAUACACCGAUCCGAACGACCCACGUCCAAGAAGCUCUCCUUUUUCCCAGUAAUUAAUAAUCCUUCUAAAUCUCUCAUUCGGCGAAAUGUUGGACAUGGGCUCCGUGGUUGUACUCGAUGAAUCAUCAUCAUUGGAUGUGGUAAACGAAUAUGACCCCGAUAAAACAGCAAUUACCCCUGGCCUCAACAAAUUAUCAUCCUCUUCCCUCUUAAUAGCAACUGCAUUAAAUCCUUGUUCACCUAGUCCUUCUUCCACAUCAUCAGAGUUGAAGUGUCCAUUAGCCAGUACCAAGGACCCUCUAUCGUUUUCAGGCGCAAAAUCCCUUAAUAUAUCCCAAGUCGAACAAGCGUUAUCGAUCACUGGUAAUGUCAUUGAAGGCGGCGGCUUCAACAACGGCGGCCUAACCCCUUUGAUUCCCCCUGAGGGACCGCAACACGAAUUUAACUUAGCCGACUCAACCGGCUCAUCCCGAGUCAACUCAGCAGCGUCGCUAAUUCUAACACUAUCGAAAACCCUAGUACACAAUUCACUCUCCUCCUGCUUCUGCAUCUGAUGAUGAUGUUGUUUCUCGUCCCCUAUCCUGGGACUAUCUGCCUCGUGCAAUCUGGACCGGGGUAGAAGAUCCGACGCCGACCGGACUUUCAUCGCUUCCCAAGCCGCCGCCGGAAUUGCGAAAUCUUCAGGACCCGACAACCCCAGGCUCCGACAAAUGCGGUCAAACUCACCAUCCGUUCCCUCAAUCCUAAAACUAGUCCGAUCUGGCAAAUCAAGAGAUCUAGUAACCAGAGACGACGAUGAAGAGUCGUCCAGAGAUGAGCAGUACGACGCCGCCUCGUACUCAAUAUGCUUCGCCGCAUUUCGGCGAUCCAGCCUCGGCCCUCUACGAUUCUUAGGGUCCAUAGGGCCGCCUCUCUUGCUAUGAGUGAAAAAUCGAGGUAUGUGAUGCAUAGAGACCUAAAUCCAUCUAAAUCUCCAAAAGAUUAAAUUCCCGAGAACCAAACAACAACCUUUAUAAAAACAGUGACGGCUCAGGCGCUGUGAAUUUGGGUGAUAUUUUUGGAGCUGACCACAGAGAGUCGUAAUGGUUGAAAAGAGAUCGAGUGAGAAACUUUUGAGCCUGC